rnacentral:sRNA from 1 species
AAAACUCUGCUGCCUGUGAGAAGAGAAGGGACAGCGGCUUGGAGAGAUAGAACGGCAAAACCGCUGCUGCUGCUGCUUCUGCUGCUGCUUCUUCUGCUGCUGCUGCUGCUGCUUUUGCAGCUGAUUGAGACACUAUGUUGAGCCUACAGGAUUCUGUGUUUUUUGAAAUUAGCAUAAAGUCCUUGUUAAAGUCCUGGAGCAGCAGCUCUUCAGUGACAGUCAGCAAAGUGAAUAAAUACUGUGCUUCUUCCAACUUUCAUUCCACUUGGGGAAAAAAAAAUAUCGUCAUGUCAAACAUUACGAUUGACCCAGAUGUCAAACCUGGUGAAUAUGUCAUCAAGAGCCUCUUUGCAGAAUUUGCUGUUCAAGCUGAAAAGAAAAUUGAAGUUGUAAUGGCCGAACCCUUGGAGAAGCUAUUGUCCAGAUCUCUUCAGAGGGGUGAAGAUCUUCAGUUUGAUCAGUUGAUAAGCUCUAUGAGCUCAGUAGCAGAGCACUGUCUCCCUUCCUUACUUCGCACCUUGUUUGACUGGUACAGACGCCAAAAUGGAACGGAAGAUGAAUCUUAUGAAUAUAGGCCUCGGUCUAGCACAAAGUCUAAGGGGGAUGAACAGCAACGUGAAAGAGAUUAUCUUCUUGAAAGGAGGGACUUAGCAGUAGACUUCAUUUUUUGUUUAGUUUUAGUUGAAGUUCUAAAGCAGGUAAGCUCUUUUAUUUCUGCAAAGUCUGUAUUCCUCAUUUGUUGCUUACUGUGCCUUCGCGUUUCAGUUACUUUAAGAUGCUGUGUCUAGAAUUUUAGCCCAUGUAAAUUAAAUUCCUGUAAUUUCAUUAUACUUCUUUCAGUUGCCUGGGGCUUUCCUGCCCUGUACCUAUCUGUCAUCUCCUCUAUUUUUUACCUUUGUAUGCUUAUCCAAGAUAUAAAAUCUUGUUAGCAAAAUGGAGCUGAAUGGAAAUUGUGUUAAUAUUGACUUUUAGCUGUAAAUGUAGUUUGCCUGCCAUUCAGCUACUUCAGUCCCUUAUUCCACUUUAUUUCUCCUCUAAGCCCCCAAGCCUGCAUUCCAAACAUGUAAUAAUUGUGCACUUUUAGUAGAGGCAUGGGGUGAUUUGAUAAGGGUACCGAAUUGUCAUGUGCAAAUGUUUUUCAGUUAAGUGAGAAUACUUCAGAUAAUAAGUUAGGAAUGUUUAUUCAUUCAAUGAAUAUUAGAAUGCCUACUGUGUGCUGGCACUGUUUUAGGCAAUAAACUCAUGAGCUUGCACUUGAAUGGGAUAGAUACACAGUUAAGAUAUGAAUAUAUAAUAUAGUGUCAGGUAUAGUCUUAGUAUUUUUACUACUCCAGAUCAGUAUAAAUGCCUGUGCUGAAUUUGAAAGCUUUUUUUUUUUUUUUUUUUUUUUUUUAAAAGAUCACGGUCUUUAAAGUUAUAUCAUUCAAGGAUGAUCUAUGUAUUUCCAGGCACGAACAUUGUAUUCUUUUGAAACAAGUUAGGAAACCUAAAGGUCAGAGUCAUAUUUUGGAUAUGACACAUUUGGGCAGGGAGUUUUGUUUUUGUUACAUAGAAAGGAAUAUGUGACAAACAGCAAAUACAAGAUAUAAAAUUAAUUGACAGUCUGUUUUUCUCAUAGUAUAAAAGUACUUGAAUUGUAUAAUCAGUUUUAUUUAGCUUUUGUUUUUACAAGGAAUAUGAAAAGACAGUUAUUUGGUACUCUGAAAUCUGCAAAUAAACAUAAUUUUAAAUAUGUAAAAUAGAUGAGUUAAUUAAAGGUUAAAUCACUUUAAUGUAUGCAUUUCAUAAAAGUUUUUUGGUAGCGGUAGGAAAGAAAUCUCCUCUGGGAGUCGUGCUAACAAGCCAAAUUUGACUUCUGUGAUCUCUUGGUUUAACUGAGAUACUAAGACCUUAAGGCAGCAGUAACUUUAGGAAGAGCUAAGGACUGGAAAUGGCCACAGCUCAGCAAUGGACUCUGACUACUGCUCAUUGUGAUUUAUCCCUGGUGUAUCUUGUGUGCUAAAUGUAUUUCAUUUAAGUAGAUUGGUAACCAGUAUUUGUACUUUUUUGCUUAAACAGUAUAGGGUUUCUUCCUCCAGCCAGAGAAAUAGCAGACUCCCUACACUGGCAUUCAGGAACACCAGUGACCUGGCCCCAUUGUGCCUUCCUCCUUCGUUCAUUUCCCAUAGCAACCUUUUCUUAGAUGUCAGUCUCGUUCCUCAACCUAAAGUUGCCCAAUUGCACUGGCUUCAGAAGUACAAUUCACAGGCAACCCUGUGGAGGCGUUUUUCCCAUCUCUUCCCCCUCAUCCUCCCUGUCCUCUUCCCCUCCUUGUUGCCUUUGUAGCCCUCCUCCUUCUCUUUUAACACAGUCCAGAUAGGUCUUCAUGUAGGA